GUCCACGCCGUAAACGAUGAGUGCUAGAUGUCGCGGGUAUUGACCCCUGCGGCGUCGCAGUUAACGCAUUAAGCACUCCGCCUGGGGAGUACGGCCGCAAGGCUAAAACUCAAAGGAAUUGACGGGGGCCCGCACAAGCGGUGGAGCAUGUGGUUCAAUUCGACGCAACGCGCAGAACCUUACCUGGGUUAAAUCCACCGGAACCCCGCAGAGAUGUGGGGGUGCCCGCAAGGGAGCCGGUGAGAAGGUGCUGCAUGGCUGUCGU
rnacentral:rRNA from 1 species